rnacentral:tRNA from 1 species
GUGGGUUAGCUCAGUGGUUAGAGCGAAGGUCUCGUAACCGAAAGGUCGCGGGAUCGAAUCCCGCUAGAGGUUUUACA